UGUGUACUGCUGAUAAUCUCAAACAUGUUUUACUUGAUUUUAGAAAACAUGUAAUUUUGUUGUGCUGCUUUUUAAUGUCUCCAGCAGUCCUACUUCUCCAUGACGACAAGGACGACGUCGCCAUGCGUGCUCGGCCGUGGUGUGCACGCUCUCCUUUCUUUCUCCUUCCGAGACAGUGAGGUGCUCCAGCAAGCGGCCGCUGGUGGGAUCCGCAGGUUAGCCCCCAUCUUCCACCUCCCCUACUCUCCUCUUCAACAGGAGCAACACCGUUAGGAGCUCGAAGUAAAACGAGGACGGCUGCAGCGACCGUGCAGUUCGCCCGCUCCUGUCCGACAAGUUCCCACCGUGCAUUUUUGUGUGUGUAGAAUUUCGUCUAAUCUAGUUCUCGAAUUUGGUCUACUUGUGUAAAUCUGUCAGUUCAAGACAAUUACCUUCUGAUGCUUGAAAUUAAGUCCUUUGUGAAUAUUGCUUGUUUCAGAAAGAAAUAGACUAUGUAAUUGCAUCACAUGGUGUACUGAUCAACAUAAACAUGGUGUACUGAACAAAACAUACACAUUCUAUCUAUUUAGCUGUGAGGAACAUUUAAAAAACGUUUGAUAUGCACAACAACAAUUGAGUCUUUGAUCCAGGAAUACACACACCCAAUGCCACUGCAAAUAGAUAGAUGGCCACCUCCUACCUGAUGUGUGUAAUUCAAAGUUCCAAACCCAAUGUAAAUUACUCCUGCUGCUUAACACAAAAAAUUUCACUUAUUUGGACGGAGGAAUAUACUACUUAUUGUCAUGAUCUAUUGAAGCCAAGAUCCGCUGUAGCAUUCGAAUCCCUUCAAUUCACUUAUAACUCUCUCGAUAAGUUCAGUGUGUGUGUAAUGGAAAAAACAAUAAUAUAAUAGUUCAGUUCAAUUCAACCAGUUGAUAUUGGAUUAUAUUGGUUGAUUGCAAAAUACUUUGUUGUUUGCCCAUCGCCAUGGCCUGCACCCUGACCAUCGCCACGGCCCCUCCUUUUCACGCCGUCGCAUCGUGCACUCACCACGCCGUGUGUGGCAUCCUCCCGGCGAAGCGCCCGUGCUGGCAACACGCACUGUGCCGCGGGACAAUUUUCCGGCGGCACCCUCCGCCGCCUCAGCCCAGGCCGUCCACCUCUGCCACCCCGGGCCGUUCACCACUGCGAAGAGAGCCCAUUCAACUACGUGAUAGAGAAUUUAUGUACCAGACUUAAUAUUAGUUCGGUGUGUAAUCUAUCGUCAGUCCAUGAAAAAUCACAGAAUAGUUGGUGUGUGUGCAGAAAUAUCGUCAGUGCAAGUUUUAAAAUUCUGUAAGUUUAGAUAUACCACCUAAAUAAGUAAUGAUUUGCAGCGAGUUUCUUCAAAAUUCUGUAAAGUUCAGAUAUAUCACCUAAAGUAUCGUCAGUGCAAGUUUCAAAAUUCUGUAAGUUUAGAUAUAUCAUAAAGAAAAAAUGAUGAGUCACCAUCUGCUUUAUAUUCAUGUUCUCUGCAACACAAGUAGCAGUGGGACUGACUGGGAGUGAUCCCUGAACCAUUUCAUUGAACGCCAUGGUUUCCAACAAUGCUAAUGCUACUAGAAAGUGUUAGAGGCCAUGAAGCCUCUUGGCUUCUCCAAUAAGCAGGUUUGGCCAGUCCUGAAGCGCCUCCUCAAGUUUCUGAGUACACGAUGCAUCGAUGCACGCAUCACAGGUGGCCAAACACGACGUGUUUUGUCCUGCACCCAGAAGCUUUGGAGGCGAUGUGUUGCCCUUUGUUCUUUAUUGACAAAUCUAGCAGUGAUGGUUCAUAUAGAACUUGAAAUUACCUAUCCGCCACGGGGAUGUACUGCCCUCAGUCCUCUCUCAACAAAUCGAGCAGUGCAGGUUCUCUGGUGCGCCAAGUAUUACCGGCGGCGAUGCCUGCUUAUAUAUUUCUGCUUUCAUGUAUUAAACCUUAUAAUCUGGUACUAUUUCAUGAUAAUAUGUGAACUGAAAGAAAGGUUCAACUAUUUGUUAUUUUAGUUGAGUUUAAUUUCUUAUUCUAGUUUAGUUUCAAAUUCGUAUCCCUUCAGUUCAGUUUCUAAAUUUGGUUUAGUUCAAUUCAGUUCAAUAUAUUUGUGCCAAUUCCUUCUUGUGAUGCUUAUAUGUAGCUGGAAAUGCAGAUGCUGCUGUUUUAGAAUUUAUCAUUCGGUAUGGAAUUAGGUGUGGUGUACCAUCAGUCACUGCUGUUGAUUUAGCCAGUUUGGUAGUACAUGAUAGUGGACGUCUCAAAAGUAUUUUUAUGUUUGAUGCAUGGCUUAUCUUGAUACUAGGCAUCACGCCACUUUACAACGACAUUACAGGGAUCAGACCAUUCUACAGCAUAAAUAUUAAACUACACGCCAGGAAAUUAGUACCUUUGUGCUUGCUAGGUGUUUGCAUGUCUCUAAGAACCAAACAGUACUAGUAACAUCCCUAUAUAGGGCCGUGAGUGUGCUAUUAAGUUUGUUGAUAUGUCUCUUAAGGACAAAAAUGAAAAAAUUGCAUCCUUUUCAGUUCAUUUUGGGGGUCAAGGACAAGUAAAUUUAGUGUCAUUGCUAAAAUGUAGGCGCUCGCCGCCGCCAUCUCCGACUGGAUCUAGCCUGGCUCCCCCUGGUUGCUAACACGACUUGUGCUGCUCUGGUGCUAGUGUGGGUGGGUAACAAGUUCAACUACGAGUCCAGACCAAGUUCUGGUAUGUUGCAUGUUUCCCACACAUUCCCUAGGAAAAAUACUUUUUAGCAUUCAGUUUUGUUCAAUUAUUAUUUUAGUUUCAGUUCAGUUCAAAUUUCUAAUUUUCAUUUCAAUUCAAUUCUUAUUUUUUCGCUAGCUACAAUCAGAACAAAAUACUCCUGCCUUCACCAGUUAACCUUCACUACAUGACAAACAGGUGCCCUGGCCUGCUCCUGACGAAGCACCCGCGCUGGCGACACGCAGCGUGCCCCGGCCCCAUGUCAGUUCCGGCGUUGCCCUUCGCCGGCUCAGCGCAAAGGCUGUUUUACUUGACAUAAAAAUUAGUAUAUGUUCUAUUGUAAAAACAUAUCUAAAAUGUCAUGAUGCAUGCUAGCAGAAAUCUGAAAAUACACUCAGUUCAGUUCCUAUAUUUUAUUUCAGUUCAAUUUAGAACUAUUUGCAACUGUUCAGACUCGAGUGUUCCUAUAUUUUAUUUCAGUUCAAUUUAGAAGUAUUUACAACUGUUCAGACUUGAGUUUACAACGGAAAAACAUUUGGAAGUUUAGCGAGCGAAAAUUCUUGUUAGAUUCAUUUAAAAAGUGUUGUAUAGUUCAACUUUUAUAUAUAAUAAAUUCAUAAUGAAAUGUGGGAACAAUUCAAUAUGUGUGUGUUAAAAACAUAACAGUACAGAGAAAUUCGGUAUGUACUCGUCAAAAAAAAUCGCAUCAGUUCAAGAGGCACGGAAAAGAAAAUUUGGUGCCAAUAAAGUUCAAGGGAAAAAACAACUUUAAAAAGAAACGUGAUAAGCUCACAAAUUAAUUCUAUGACAUUGACGUCCAAGUUCUACAACUGAUCCGUACAAACAAAAACGGUGGUCCGUUCUACAAAGGAAAAUUGGUUUAAUUAAAAAUAUUGAUCAGUACAAGUUAAAAUGAUGGUCCGUUCGGAAUAAAAGAAAUGACAGAAAUUCAAAUUGUAAAAGUUCAAGCAAAAGGAAACGCCGUGCAAUUCAAAUGGUAAAAGUACAAGUCAUAAAAUAAGAGAAGUUCAGAACAUCGUUGUAAAAAAAUGUUUAGUUCAAAAAAAAGAAUAAAAAAA
rnacentral:lncRNA from 1 species